GUCGCGGAGAGGGCAACGAUGGUAGAGGGGAGGGUAGGAGUCCAGGUCAGCUUCGGCUCUCAGAAAAAACAAAAACAAAACAAAACAGGCGAACAGGAAAAUGAUGUUGUGUUGGCUGUGCUGUGUUGGCUGUGUUAUCCCGAGAGGGGAGAAACAACGAGAUCUCGUCUCCCCCCUUUUUUGUUUUUGUUUUUUUUUUUUUUUUUUUUUUCACCAUAUAAUCAACUCAUAACCCCUCAAGUUGACAGGACAACACAGUGAUUUACCAGGAACAUCUUUUCCUUUUCUCCAUGUCUUCCGCCAGAGGUUAACACCGGUGAGAUUCAGGGACACAGCACCCAGAGCGGUUCAGCAAGAAAAACCCGCCUCAAACUACAUUCUCUCUUUUUUGUUUUACCGGGAGGGGUGAGGACAACUCUGGUGUCCAGCCGUGAAUUUUAGCCAAAGCUUGGCCUGUCUUCUGCUGCCGUACUCAGGCU
ensembl:lncRNA